rnacentral:lncRNA from 1 species
GUCCUUUGUGUGGGUAUUCAGUUGAGUAGGUGUCUCAUCUUUUUGUCACUUGUGAUUUAACUCUAUAUGUGUGGUAUAUGAUCUUCUAGUGAUUGGGUUAACAAGUUUAUGAUUAUUUUAAGUUUUUCCCUCUCUUUAGGUUGUAGGGGUAAGUCUAUGGAUGACUUUUCUAUGAUCUGGUACGUUGUUGUCUAGUGUAUUUGGAGAGCUUACAAUGAUGUCAUCUCUAACGGUGUUUUUAAAACUCUGAAAGAAGUGGAGGAGAAGAGUAUUUUUUUUGCCUGGAAAUGGUUACUACAAAGUGUAGGGUGAACUUAUAUACUUUAUCUAAGUGGAUUCAAAACCCUAUCCUCUGCCUUAAUCGUACCCGAUUAAUUAUUCGCCUUGGUUUCAUGGUUGGGACCGGUUUAUGGUUUUGUUGCUCUCUUGGUGGCUUUUGAUCUGUUGAUGGUGGUUUUGGCAGUUUGAGCUCUAGCGUGAGGCCUAAGGGAUUGAGCUUCUUGGCUGCUUAGGAUUUUAGUUGUGGGGUUACUUUGGCCUACUUAGUUGUAGUGUUGUUUAUGUUGGUUGUUUAGGUUCUUUUAUGUUUCUUUUUGCUUUUUUGGUUGUAUUUUUUACACUUAUUGUGGUCAGGGACGCUUAUUUUUGUACUUUGGUUAUUCUCACCUUUUAUUAUAUUAUAUAUUAUUUUUGAAAUUUUUGAAUUUUUUUU